GGAGGAGGAAGAAGAUUCUGUGACCCGGCUACAGAAAACGAAUCGCUUUUCCCUGUUUUUUCCACUUUUUUUUUGUUUUUGUUUUGCGUGUGUCGAACCAAGGGAAAACUCGGCAGUAUUUUAGUAGCCGCGCGGUCAGGCAGGCGCCUCCGAGUCUAUUUGGACCUCGCCAAUACCAACACGACCUCCACUACCAAUACCAACAGCACAGUCACUACCAACAUCGGUGGCAGGACGGGGCACGGACAGACCCAACCGGGGCGAAGUGUUGCUAUAGACCUUAAUAUCAAAACGAAUUUAGUGCCGCGGUGAAGUGACCGGUGCGAUCUCAGGAGUUUGGUGACGGAUCUUGCAAAGAGUAAAUACCUUUUUGUGUGGUGAGAGUAACAGUGAGUUUGCGUCGUAGCAGGAAAGUAUAGAGUGUCUGAUACUAUCAUUAAACCGGUGUUACUGUGUAGACGUAGUGGCCUUGAGCAGUGUUAGCGAAGGGAAACAGCAUACUCGGAACCCAGUUUAUACUCCGCGCAAUAUAUCUACAGUAUGAGUGAGUUAGUAUACUCCGAAUAGCAUAACCAAGGCAGUUACUCAUAUUUUGUGCAGUUUAUCUACAAGAUAUGAUGACAGCUGAAUGACACCGACAAAAUAAACAAAAGAAAAACCAAAAAUAAUCAAAUCAACUAGAAAAAACAAAAAA